rnacentral:rRNA from 1 species
UNCCACGUGUAGCAGUGAAAUGCGUAGAGAUGUGGAGGAAUACCGAUGGCGAAGGCAGCCUCCUGGGAUAACACUGACGUUCAUGCCCGAAAGCGUGGGUAGCAAACAGGAUUAGAUACCCUGGUAGUNCACGCCCUAAACGAUGUCGAUUAGCUGUUGGGCAGCAUGACUGCUUAGUAGCGAAGCUAACGCGUGAAAUCGACCGCCUGGGGAGUACGGUCGCAAGAUUAAAACUCAAAGGAAUUGACGGGGACCCGCACAAGCGGUGGAUGAUGUGGAUUAAUUCGAUGCAACGCGAAGAACCUUACCUGGUCUUGACAUGUACGGAACCCUCCAGAGACGGAGGAGUGCCUUCGGGAGCCGUAACACAGGUGCUGCAUGGCUGUCGUCAGCUCGUGUCGUGAGAUGUUGGGUUAAGGCCCGCAACGAGCGCAACCCUUGUCAUUAGUUGCCAUCAUUAAGUUGGGCACUCUAAUGAGACUGCCGGUGACAAGCCGGAGGAAGGUGGGGAUGACGUCAAGUCCUCAUGGCCCUUAUGACCAGGGCUUCACACGUCAUACAAUGGUCGGUACAGAGGGUAGCCAAGCCGCGAGGCGGAGCCAAUCUCACAAAACUGAUCGUAGUCCGGA